rnacentral:SRP_RNA from 1 species
GUGCGGGCUAGCCCGGGGGGCUCGGCGUCCCCUGUGACCCGAAACCGUCGAUAUGCGGGGGGCGAAGCUCGAGGGCGGCUUCCGCUUGCCGUCGCGUCACGCAGGGCUUAACGGUGAGGCAUCGUCCUGCGGGGCCGCCGUUGGCGUGGCGGCUGGCUGGAGGGCCGGUCGUGCGCCUUUGCCGCGGGCACCGGUUUAGGCCCGGAAGGGAGCGGACCCACCGUGGGCGGUCGGCGCUCGUGGGGUAGCGGUGCUGAGCGACGCCCUGUGGCGGCGUUGCGGCAAUGAAGCCCACCGAGAGCGUGCCCGCAC